rnacentral:rRNA from 1 species
ACCCUGACCAAAACAGACCGUGCACGCGUCAUCCAACCUGCCGGCGGUGGCACCGUCCGUCGCUCGGCCAAGUCCUCGACAACCUCCUCUUCUCGGAGUGGGGGCUCGGGGUAAAAGAACCCACGGCGCCUAAGGCGUCAAGGAACACUGUGCCUAACUCGGGGACGNGGCUGGCUUGCUGGCCGCCCCUCGUGUUGCAAUGCUAUUUAAUCCACACGACUCUCGGCAACGGAUAUCUCGGCUCUCGCAUCGAUGAAGAACGUAGCGAAAUGCGAUACCUGGUGUGAAUUGCAAAAUCCCGCGAACCAUCGAGUCUUUGAACGCAAGUUGCGCCCAAGGCCAUUCGGCCGAGGGCACGCCUGCCUGGGCGUCACGCCAAACACGCUCCCACCCCCUCAUCGGGGAUCGGGAUGCGGCAUGUGGCCCCCCGUCACNCAAGCGANGGUGGGCCGAAAAUGUGGCUGCCGGUGUUUCGUGCCGGACACAGCGCGUGGUGGGCGAUCUCGGCUUU